GCUCCGUCAAAAACCCAUACCAAAAGCAAAAGCAAAACCAAACAUGGCUUCCUCUGGUUCUGCACCAUCUGAUGUUAAGAAAGAUUCUAACCCGAAAAUGAACAAAGAGGAGGUGAUCAACAAGAAGAAAGAUGUUUCUGCAAGCUUAGAGAAUGAGAAGCUCAAGAAACAGGAGGUGAACAAGGACAAUGACGCUUCUGCAGGUUUAGAGAUAGAUCAGGAGGAGGUGUCUUCUGUAAAAAAGAAAAGAAAGAGAGAUGAGGAUGCUUCUGGUUCAGAGGAGGCUUCGAGGAUUCAAGCUCAGGAGGAAAGAAAGAAAAGAAGGCUUGAGAGAAGGCGGAGAAAUACUGAUAAGUAUCAGGCCGAGGCAAGAGAGUGGAACUGGAAGGGAGCCUACGAGCAGGCACUUCGUAGUGUUGCCAAGGACAAUGCGUGGUUGGACAAUGAGAAGGCGAGAAUUAAUCGAUUGAAGGAGUUAAAGAAAUUUUUGGGGCCUAAUUCGAACCUUGACAAACAAGAGAUUCAUGACAUCAAGAGGUGGGAUACGCUGAAUGAGCAACGGAAGUUCAGAGAAACGAAUCCGGAGCAGAAUGAGCUGGCAAUUAGGGAGUUGGCAUGCUCGGCACUUAAGACAUGGCAGGGUAUCGAUAAUGUCUUUAACCUUGUCGACAAAGAGCUUGAACCUGAAUCAGAGUCCGAGAAAGAUAAUCGCUAGGAAUCUCAGGGUCUAUUUUCGGUGGAUCCUAGCUAGCGUAUCGUAGACUACUAUGCAAAGUGAGAGGGCAUGCAUAUUACCUAUAAUAUGCUGAUGCUGAUUGCUGUGAAGUCUGAUGGAGUUGGUACUUUUGGAGCUUCUAGAGUUCAAGUGAAGUGAAUACUGAAGUUUAUUUCUGCUUCUUCUUCUUCUUCUUUUUUUCUCAAGGAACUUAUUUGGAGAAAUCAUGGUCUGUACGUAAUAACUUGAAUUUACGGAUUGUUAUAGGUUGUUGACUUUCUAUGAUCUCUUGUUCUAUGGUCUGUAAUGACUUAAAACUUUUUAUCACUUAUCACUUUAUCAGCUAGGUUAAAAUUAUCAUCGGUUAUUUUUACUAUUUCUUA